GCAGCUCAGCUGGCAGGGCGCAUGCCUUGCAUGCAGAAGGUCCCAGGUUCAAUCCCUGGCAUCUCCA